AGCCCCACAGCCUGUAUAUCUGUGUGAUGAGCCACUGAUGUUUCUGAUAUAGUCAAAAAAAGAGAGGGUUUGUCUUUUAUGUAAGGAAGGAAAAUGGAGCUGAAUGGUUUGCUAGAAAAAGAAACCUGCAGUGGAAAGCCCUCCAAGACCUCAGGGAAUGACAGCUGGAGAAUUUCUGAGAAUCAUAAAAUCAUAGAAUCCUGUACCUCUACAGGGUAAUGGAAAACAAA